CCUUGAUUUUAGCACUCCUUCAGGCAGCUGAAGAGGUGUCUGGAGGGAUUUGGCAACACUGGAUGAGUUGCUGGUGGCUGAGUGGGUGGAACCAUUGUGAGCCGUGAAGGAUUCACAUGGAAGGUUCCAUGAGGGCCCCAGAGAAGCUUCUCAGGCAGUCAAGGAUUUGCAGCAACUCGUGGCUUCCCUUCACUGCAUCCUUCUGUUGCCAUAUUAUGACCUUGCUCAGAAGCUGUGGUCUGUUGGUUGGCCUGGUACUGCUUCACCUGAGAAGCCCACAUCAUCUGUGAAGAUGUGCAUGGAGCUGCAUUUGAGAGAGGUAAAAGUCCUGCCUGGCAGCCACCUGCUCCAUGGGAAUAGCCACUGGAUUGCCUGUAGUAGCUGCCUUCUGGUUCUUGGCCAGUGUGAGUGGAUCAGGCACAAGCUGGGUUGCAGGGAAGGGAGGAGAGGUGAGGGGGUGUUGCCAGGUGAAUCUGCCUGGGCAGCCCUCUUACACAGAACAUGUAGAAAGAAGCGGGAACUAUGGUGGAGGUAGGGAUGCACAGCCUGUGGAAAAACAGGCAGCGGCAAAAUACAAAAUCAUUUGGAAGUGUGGUAAAGAAGCUGGAAAGAAAAGAACUAGUUUUAACAAAAAAAUAGAGUGUAGUAAAACCAGGGAGAAGAAAAGAUACAACAAAAUUAACAUAUACUUAAAGAAAAAUUUAUAAGGAAUUUAUUGGUUGUGAGAGAUUUUUGGGUGGGAAAAGAAAUGAUAAAUAGUUCUACAUACCUUUAAUCUCCCAUAGUAGGCAUAAUACUCAACUGAGAAAGUAAAAUCUGUGAAACUUCAUUUUGUGGCUAAUAAAUACCUUUCUUUGGGAUGUUUAUUAAGGAUGUUGAAUUAACAAUUGAAAAUGAGGCCAUUUGCUACCUUCAAAUGUAAAUUUUUUUUUUGUUCUCAAAUAAAUAAUUCAGUAACUUCUUAUGAGCUUUAGAGAGCAAGCAGUAGCAUGGCAAAGUUAAGUUCUUUAUCAUCUCUUUUUUGAUCUUUGCUAAGUUGCUGUUGUGAAAAGUGUAAAUUGUCCUUGAGUUGAAGCUGCUGCAUGCAGCACAUACGUACAGAGUGCUAAUUUAACUGGGACUGCACUGCCAUUGCACCAGCCAGCUGAGGCGAAAAGGCAAUUCUUAGGGUACAUUUACCAAAGCAGGAUGCAACAGUUUCAGCGGGGGGCAGAAGAUCUGAUGCUCUUUCAGAAGAUGUGAAGGUGUUGAGGAUGUGUGGAAAAUGCUAAGGAAAAUCUGUUUUGAAAGAAUAAUGUAGAACCCAGCAGAAAAAAAAAAAAAAAAAGACAGUGGGUGCAAAGCCCUGGUGUAUGUCUGUGUUUUGCUUGUCCAGAGAGCAGAUAUGCACAGGGAAAAGCUAUCUGUAAAUGGCACUGUAUGCUCUCUGCUGAAGAGAUGCAGCUGGGUUUGGCAGCUGUCCCCCAAUGGGCUAAUUAAGAGAAGGAAAGCACAGAGAAGGAAAGUGUUUUCACCAAAUGUAAGACAUUCACUUUCCUUUUUGUCCACUGAGCUUAUUUGGGAAAGCCUUGUCAGCUUUGUGUUGUGGAAAGUACGUAUCUCAUGUUUUGAAAGUACUGUCUUUAAGUGACAUCUUCAUUCUUCAAUCUGAUUUUUAUAGUCUAGGUUUCAAAGCAAUCCCUAAAACAAUCUUAACUUUGUUUAAGCCAUAAUGAAGGAAGAUCUCCUUGUUUUUUUUCUUUCCAGCCUGCAUCAUGGAAGAUAAAGCAAGGUUCUCUAAUGAGCUGUGGUAAGACCAGGAGACAAAAUAGAAAGGGGAGAACCAGGAUGUCAGCAGCAGAGGGGAUGUUUUCUAAAAUAAAGAAAUAGUACAUUUUGAUGUGUUUUUUUUCAAGCAGCUUGGGGGAAAAUUUUGUAUUUGUUGUAACAAUUAUUUUAUUUGUAAGGGGUAGAUUAUGAGGAAAUAACUCCAGUGACCUUCCAGAAUGUGCUACUUCUUUCUGGUUUCAAUAGGAAAAAAAAGCAGUGACAUUUCAGUGUUCCUGAUGUGCCAUUAACAAAAUUUAUGUUUAUUCAUGCAUUUUUCAAUUAGCUGUUGAGAGUGCUGCAUACUUUAGGAGGAAGAGAAGUCUAGCAUAAUCCAGGCUCAGAAAUGUCCCCAGUCAUCUUCAUUUCUGUGUAAUGUGGAAUUUUAGCUUCUUUGCACCCUACCUGAGUGAUCUUUGCACAUCUUAGUGAGGUAUUUGACAGUAACCAUAAUUUUUUUCCUCUUGACAGCUGAGAGAGGAACAAGAUGUUUAUCUCAUUCGUUAUGCUUAUUUUAUGAUUAGAAAAAUCCAUGUGAUUUUGAUAAAGAUGGAUAAGAGAUGUUUCCUCUUGUGCCUGAUUCUGUCCUUGGUGUGGUGGGAUGCUAUGAAUCCUUGAAAGGGAAAGGAAAGGGAACCUAUUACUGCUUCCUUAUUUCUGAGUACUGCAAAGUUGCUAGUACACAGUGCACUUGAGGGUCCAGUGCCCAAAGAGUCAUAAAACAUGAUACUCUGCCAUUUUCCCUCCUUUAUAAUUGUAGGAUAGAGAUUACAAAUCUGUUCCAACACAGAAUUUUGUUUCUCAUCUGUGGUACCUUUCUUAAUGAAUGAAUAAAUAGAAGUGUAAGCAGAUACUAAACAGCUUGUGGUUGCUGUACAAUAGGAAAAGAAGAUGCAAUUCUCAGAUUAAUUAGCAGUUUACAGUCCCUAUAAGCAGAAUAUCAAUAAAGAUUUUACGGAAGCAAUGUUUCAAGUAUAGCUGAAGUAUAACUGAAUGUCUGCAAUUAUUUUUCUGGGCUCUACAGGCAUGUCUCUUUGGAAUUAUUAACUUCAUUAUUCAUUUGAGAGAAACCGGGUCAGAGAGACAUAUAGUGAGGCAGGGAGGUUGUUUGGCACACUGGGAUUGCAGAAGAGAAGCUGGCCCUAGCAGCAGAGUGUGCUGCUCAGAUGGCAGCUCUUCCAGAAAAGGCCUUGCCAAGGAGCCACAGCCCAAAUGACAACCAUGUGGAGCAGAAGGGAAAUGAUAAAUUUGCCAAUGUGUAAAUGGAGAACUGCAGGAGGUCAACUGCAGGAGUCAUGCUGUGAGUAUGAGACAUAAUAGGCCUGUACCUUGCUUAUGCUUAAAAGUUUUGAUGUAAGAGUAAUAGGGAUCUUCAUUUCUGACAAAUGGAAAGAUAAUACAGGUUCCUGGAGACUGUUAUUUGCUCUAGAAGAUGCGGGGAGUUUUAUCCAUAGAGGUUAUAUAACUCUGCAUGUUGCCACUAGUUAUCUUCAAUUCCAAGUACCAGCCUAA